rnacentral:rRNA from 1 species
UGCAAGCGUUAAUCGGAAUUACUGGGCGUAAAGCGCACGCAGGCGGUCUGUCAAGUCGGAUGUGAAAUCCCCGGGCUCAACCUGGGAACUGCAUUCGAAACUGGCAGGCUAGAGUCUUGUAGAGGGGGGUAGAAUUCCAGGUGUAGCGGUGAAAUGCGUAGAGAUCUGGAGGAAUACCGGUGGCGAAGGCGGCCCCCUGGACAAAGACUGACGCUCAGGUGCGAAAGCGUGGGGAGCAAACAGGAUUAGAUACCCUGGUAGUCCACGCCGUAAACGAUGUCGAUUUGGAGGUUGUGCCCUUGAGGCGUGGCUUCCGGAGCUAACGCGUUAAAUCGACCGCCUGGGGAGUACGGCCGCAAGGUUAAAACUCAAAUGAAUUGACGGGGGCCCGCACAAGCGGUGGAGCAUGUGGUUUAAUUCGAUGCAACGCGAAGAACCUUACCUGGUCUUGACAUCCACAGAACUUUCCAGAGAUGGAUUGGUGCCUUCGGGAACUGUGAGACAGGUGCUGCAUGGCUGUCGUCAGCUCGUGUUGUGAAAUGUUGGGUUAAGUCCCGCAACGAGCGCAACCCUUAUCCUUUGUUGCCAGCGGU